AAGAGUCCUCGAGACGCACGGCACGACGGGCUGGCAGGUAAUCUGGAGUCGCUGGACACACAUCUUGUGAAUCUGAAUAAUAUGGUGGUGAGGAUUCCUCAUGUUCAGUCUCGUCUGGGAUCAGGAAGCAACUCCAGUCCGUGUACUCCAGCGCUCCAGAGAGCGGCCAAACCGCAGAACAUGAACGUGUGUCCCAGUCGAGAGCUUCAUCACAGCAGCUCCAUGACGGACGUCUCCUCCACUCCUCUCUCUCCAGCGCUCGAUGAAGUCUUCUUCAGCCCUGACGAGCUGCCGCCGAAGAAU